UGGGGAAUAUUGGGCAAUGGGGGAAACCCUGACCCAGCAACGCCGCGUGAAGGAAGAAGGCUUUCGGGUUGUAAACUUCUUUUACCAGGGACGAAGAGAGUGACGGUACCUGGAGAAAAAGCUCCGGCUAACUACGUGCCAGCAGCCGCGGUAAUACGUAGGGAGCAAGCGUUGUCCGGAUUUACUGGGUGUAAAGGGCGUGUAGGCGGAGAUGCAAGUCAGAUGUGAAAUCUGGGGGCUCAACCCCCAAACUGCAUUUGAAACUGUAUCCCUUGAGUAUCGGAGAGGCAGGCGGAAUUCCUA
rnacentral:rRNA from 1 species